CAGCAAAAUGCGAGACAGUUCGGGAGGAUGGCCAUUGAGAAGAUCAGCACCUGUUGUUAGAGGCUCCCUACAGUUUAAUUCGCAAGGUCAGAUAUGAGAGAAAGGAAGCUGUCUGCGCAGCUCCUACCCUUCCUGAAGCCAUAUUGCACAUGAGGAAUGAUGCCGUUAGAUUCAACAAACCAGUCAAGUCGACACUUAAUAAUAUUUUCAAAUAUUUUGCCUAUACAUGAAGACAAGGAUAUAGGUCGAUAUGAAUCGGCGUUAUUUGGAGGUUUACCAGGCUUAAGGACUGGGAUCACACAUUGCGUUUUCCAAGACUGCGGAAUUAUUUGUUUCGACCAUAAUGCAUUGAAGAUGGCUAAUAAAAUAUCUAGUACUGUUGAA